CAUGGACUCACCAGCAAACUGGAAUGUUAGAAUCAGCUUGUUCAUUCCUUCAGAGAAGCUUGGAAUCUCACUGAACCUGUGCAUCGGUUUGAGAAGAUUCAGUUUCACGGACUUAUGCAUCGGUUUUCUAUUCUAUGUGUCAGUCUGAAGGUCUCACCUUUGCAUGAGAGUAAACAACUCCCAGGACCAGCACCAGCACCGGGACCGGGACCAGCA